rnacentral:lncRNA from 1 species
GGUUUAAGUUCCAGGCUGUGGAGAGUAAUGCAAGUUUUAUAUUGAAGGGACAAUUUGUGUGGCUCUUAAAAGAUGGAUGCAACGGUGACGACCGACGGUACACGGGUUCAACCCGUAAAAGAUCAUAUUUCAAAUUCAGUAUGUUAGAUUUGUAUUUUAUGGAAAUGGCUGGGGAAUAAAUUGAUAUUUGAAAUGAAGCGUAGCAAUCCUGCACUCCGGUUUAAUUAAGAUCCUUGAAUAGCAGAUAACGUACAGUGUUUUACUCUGUCGCCAGUGGUGCGCAAAAGUGUGAACACGUGAAACAUAUUUUCACGCUUACUGUUCAGUUUCAAGGAGAAGACGGACAACGAAGGACGAAGAAUGAAAAAAGGAAAGACCAUUAACCUGAAUCACAGAGAUUGUGCAGCUGAGUUUGUUGUGAAGAAACUGGAGACCACAGAGAGAUUGUGCAGCUGAGUUUGUUGUGAUGAAACUGGUGAUGUUGGCUACUGUUGGUGCAUUUAGUCCACAACUUGAUCCACUAACUUUGAUUACAGAGAGAUUGUGCAGCUGAGUUUGUUGUGAUGAAACUGGUGGUCACAGAGAGAUUGUGCAGCUGAGUUUGUUGUGACGAAACUGGUGGUCACAGAGAGAUUGUGCAGCUGAGUUUGUUAUGAUGAAACUGGUGGUCACAGAGAGAUUGUGCAGCUGAGUUUGUUGUGAUGAAACUGGUGGUCACAGAGAGAUUGUGCAGCCGAGUUUGUUGUGAUGAAACUGGAGGUGUUAGCUAGUGUUGGUGCAUUUAGUCCACAACUUGACCAUUAACCCGAAUCGCAGAGAUUCACUGUGCAGCUGAGUUUGUUGUGAUGAAACUGGAGACCACAGAGAGAUUGUGCAGCCGAGUUUGUUGUGAUAAAACUGGUGGUGUCAGCUAGUAUUGGUGAAUUCAAGAUCACAGAGAGACUGUGCAGCUGAGUUUGUUGUGAUGGAAUUGGUGGUGUCAGCUAGUGUUGGUGCAUUUAGUCCAGAACUUGAUGGACCUACCCACUCAACCCCACUGGUAGUUCUGCUUCCUUAUAAGCUGUUAUGGUAAUAAAUGGACAAGUGACACAUUUUCACCCUUACUGUUCAGUGAGUUUCAAGGACAAAGAAGGAUAACCAAGAAGGAAGGCUGACUAUUCCUAUGGAAAUGUGAAAUGGUGCGAGCCCUUGUUUUGUCUUCUGCUCCCAAUCAGAUACUUCAAUCUUUCAUUAGGAUGGAACUUGACUUUGGCAGACUGUUAUGAAGAUGUGAUUGUAAAAAUGGUGCUGAAUUUAAAAAUGGUUUGGGAUGAAAGCAGGGAACCUAUAAAAUACAGUAAUUUCCAUGUUAUACAGGAAAUCUUAAAUCAUUUAUACAAAACUUGAGGAUAAAACAUGUGGAAAAUGUUAGUUUUUGAUUGAAGAGAAGAGUGAACAUGAAUAAUGCUGAAAUUUAAAGAUGCCCGGAAGUUUUAAACCCAUUUUACCGAGAGAGUCGAGACUAUGGGGAUUAUCGUAGUUAUGUAACCAGACAAAACUUUGUUAAAAGUCUUACAAGCAUAAAGGAGAGAAGACAGUAAACAAGAAGUAUGACAGAAAAUCUGACUGUUAACAUGCACUGUUUUAUGGUUGAUAGAAACACUAAAAUUGUUUUAGCUUCUAACGAAGAAAGUUUGACACCAGUGACAUUAGGAAGUUUUAAGAUUUAUAGUUUCUUUUCAAUAUUUGUUGGCAAAGCAAGGGAUUUUAGUUAUCAUCCCAUUCUCUGAUGUGUUGUAUCGAUAAGUUUCAUUUAAAUAAAAAAGUUAAAAUAAAUGUAUUUAUUCCUCUUC